rnacentral:rRNA from 1 species
UUGGGGGCCUUACGGGAGGCAGCAGUGGGGAAUUUUGGACAAUGGGCGCAAGCCUGAUCCAGCAAUGCCGCGUGAGUGAAGAAGGCCUUCGGGUUGUAAAGCUCUUUUGUCAGGGAAGAAACGGCUCAGGCUAAUAUCCUGGGCUAAUGACGGUACCUGAAGAAUAAGCACCGGCUAACUACGUGCCAGCAGCCGCGGUAAUACGUAGGGUGCAAGCGUUAAUCGGAAUUACUGGGCGUAAAGCGUGCGCAGGCGGUUUUGUAAGUCUGACGUGAAAGCCCCGGGCUCAACCUGGGAAUUGCGUUGGAGACUGCAAGGCUUGAAUCUGGCAGAGGGGGGUAGAAUUCCACGUGUAGCAGUGAAAUGCGUAGAGAUGUGGAGGAACACCGAUGGCGAAGGCAGCCCCCUGGGUCAAGAUUGACGCUCAUGCACGAAAGCGUGGGGAGCAAACAGGAUUAGAUACCCUGGUAGUCCACGCCCUAAACGAUGUCUACUAGUUGUCGGGUUUUAAUUAACUUGGUAACGCAGCUAACGCGUGAAGUAGACUGGCCUCC